rnacentral:rRNA from 1 species
UUAGAUUCUUCGGAUGAAGAGGAUUGUGACUGAGCGGCGGACGGGUGAGUAACGCGUGGGUAACCUGCCUCAUACAGGGGGAUAACAGUUAGAAAUGACUGCUAAUACCGCAUAAGACCACAGCACCGCAUGGUGCAGGGGUAAAAACUCCGGUGGUAUGAGAUGGACCCGCGUCUGAUUAGCUAGUUGGUAAGGUAACGGCUUACCAAGGCGACGAUCAGUAGCCGACCUGAGAGGGUGACCGGCCACAUUGGGACUGAGACACGGCCCAAACUCCUACGGGAGGCAGCAGUGGGGAAUAUUGCACAAUGGGGGAAACCCUGAUGCAGCGACGCCGCGUGAGUGAAGAAGUAUUUCGGUAUGUAAAGCUCUAUCAGCAGGGAAGAAAAUGACGGUACCUGGCUAAGAAGCACCGGCUAAAUACGUGCCAGCAGCCGCGGUAAUACGUAUGGUGCAAGCGUUAUCCGGAUUUACUGGGUGUAAAGGGAGCGUAGACGGAUGGGCAAGUCUGAUGUGAAAACCCGGGGCUCAACCCCGGGACUGCAUUGGAAACUGUUCAUCUAGAGUGCUGGAGAGGUAAGUGGAAUUCCUAGUGUAGCGGUGAAAUGCGUAGAUAUUAGGAGGAACACCAGUGGCGAAGGCGGCUUACUGGACAGUA